rnacentral:rRNA from 1 species
AUUGAAUGCUGGCGGCAGGCCUAACACAUGCAAGUCGAACGAGUGGCGGACGGGUGAGUAAUGUCUGGGAAACUGCCCGAUGGAGGGGGAUAACUACUGGAAACGGUAGCUAAUACCGCAUACCAUCGGAUGUGCCCACAUGUGAUUAGCUGGUCGGUGGUGUAACGGCUCACCGAGGCGACGAUCCCUAGCUGGUCUGAGAGGAUGACCAGCCACGCUGGAACUGAGACACGGUCGAGACUCCUACGCGAGUGGACAGUGGGGAAGAUUGCACAAUGGGCGCAAGCCGGAUGCAGCCUUGCCGCGUGGAUGAAGAAGGCCUGCGGGUUGUAAAGUACUUUCAGCGGUGAGGCGUUACUCGCAGAAGAAGCACCGGCUAACUCCGUGCCAGCAGCCGCGGUAAUUC